rnacentral:lncRNA from 1 species
AUUUGAAAUACCAAAGUUCGCAUUAAUCACCAACUUGAAGUAUGGUGAAGUACUUAAAGGAUGGGUCGGCUUCUGACAAAAUUCUAGAAAAAAAACUCGGCUAUGGGACAAAUAUUUACCUAUAGAGACCGGGUAACUUGUAGCGAUCUAGAGAAGAUUUUCUUGAAAUGUGCCAAUCUUAACGAUCAUUACAAGCUUGGAUCGGCACUAACUAUUGAAGGGGUAUUCAAUUCCAGAAAUCAAAAUGUGGGGAUACAUCUUAAAUCUCUCUCCAUCGUGGACAACUUAGAAUUCUUCAUUGCCUACCCAUGGGAGAUAGUAUGUUUUAAAAUUCAUAUCAAAUCAUUGCUCCAUGGAUGGAAGAGAAAGGUAGACUUGGCAAAG